GCCCCCGUAGCUCAACCGGACAGAGCAGCGGACUUCUAAUCCGCGGGCUGGGAGUUCGAGUCUCCCCGGGGGCGCAA
rnacentral:tRNA from 1 species